GAUGAAGAACGUAGCGAAAUGCGAUAAGUAAUGUGAAUUGCAGAAUUCAGUGAAUCAUCGAAUCUUUGAACGCACAUUGCGCCCGCUAGUAUUCUGGCGGGCAUGCCUGUUCGAGCGUCAUUUCAACCAUCAAGCCUCAGGCUUGUGUUGGAGCCCUGUGGCUGCCGCAGCCUCCCAAAAACAGUGGCGGGCUCGCUAUCACACCGAGUGCAGUAGUUUACUCUUCGCUCAGGGCGUGUGGCGGGUGCUAGCCGUGAAACCCCCUACUUCUCAAGGUUGACCUCGGAUCAGGUAGGAAUACCCGCUGAACUUAAGCAUAUCAAUAAGCGGAGGA
rnacentral:misc_RNA from 1 species